CUUAAGCAAUGACUACAGGACAGUCAAACCAAAAUGAGCAAUCUGGGAGUCUAUGCCUAGUGGUAGUGUUUUGUAAAAGUAUGGACCAAAUUCCAUAUAGCUGUCCUACAAAUUAAAAAAUAAGGAUUUUUUCAAAUUGACAGCAGCAGCUUUUUGAGCUCUGGCGGAACAAGCUUUUAUGGGGCUAGAUGAGGCUUUCAUGCUUUGAGACAUAAUGUUCUGAAUUUCAGCUGAACAGCUUCUUUCAGGUGAAGCAAUCUAGCCAGCAUUCAGGCUGUUGAACAUAAGGAAGCUGGGUCCAGGUGUAGGAUCUCACAGUUUUUCUGAGAGACUACUGGGGAGGGCCAACAAAGUGAUUGCACUGGGGAUGCUGGGGGGACUGCACUGAGAGGUUCAUCAGAACCAAACUGUCUGGUCCAUGCUGUGGGUAUCCUAAUAAAAUCAUUCUGUGUCAUGCCUACAUACAGCAAUCCCAGUGUCUAAAGGAUGAGAUAGGUGGCUAUGUCAGUGAACCUAGGAAUGUACCACCUCUCGAAGAAAAUGUCGUCUUGUUGUGAUCAGUGACAAAACACGUCUUGCUGGGAACUCCAACUUGUAAAAGAUGUUCUGUAGAACUGUGCCUUUGACUGACCACUUGUGGUUAUCUGAGAACUGCUUGCUGAGUUGGUAUGCAAGAUGUUCUCAAGGCUGGGAAGGUAGAGUCACUGGUGGCAUUUGAUUCAGAAUGCAAAUUCCAGAGUUGAGUGGCCGCCUGACACAGUGGAGACCGUCUGUGGUCUGAUUAUGAAAUCUGAAAUAAUGCACAGCUGUAGUAUUUUCUGUCAACAUUUGGAUUGUGGAUUCGUGUUAAGGUAUGCCAGCCAGGUAGCUUUAAGCCAUAGGAUGUUUACAUGGGAAUUAGCUUCCAGAGGGGACCAAGGCGUCAAGUUUGAAGGUGAUCUAGAUGAGCUCCCCAUCCCUGAGUGACACUCUAUUAUCAAGACACAGGUGCAGAGGGGAUGUUCUGUUCUACACCUGAAGAAGAUCUUUCCACUAGUUUAAUAAGGAGAUGACUUCUUGAAGGACUGUAAGGAUCAUGUCCAUGUGGUAGCUGCUGGGUUAAUACACUGAUUUUAGCCACCCUUGCACACAGCACAGGUCAACUGUGUCAAGUAGAUGCAUGGGGCAGUGUCUCCCAAGAGUCUGAGGGACGUUCUCAGUGGUGCCUUUGGGUAAGCUUUACGUUGACUUAUGUUCAUUGUAGUUUGGAAUUUCUCUCAUUGGAGGUAAGCUUUCAAUGACCUGGAAUCUAACAGUGUUCCUAUGAAAUCUAUGCUUUGAGUUGGAAUAAGUGUGGGUUUCUCUCUUUUUGGCUUUGAGGCCCAAGAUGGCAAACAGCUCUAAAGUUAUUUGAGUUGAGUUUGUCACAGUAGAUCUACUUAGAAUCAGCUACUCACUGAGGUAAGGGUAGAACUGGAUCCUUUGUCGUCUCAGAUGAUCUGCCAAAACUGUUACACCCUUGGUGCUGUUGAAAGACCAAAGGACAAGACUCUGUACCAGCAGUGAGGCCUUCUUCCUAGGAACCUGGGAUGUUUCAGAUGAAUGGAUGUGACAGUAACUCCCUUGGAGGUAGAGAGCCCAGAGCCAGUCUGAAGCUCUAACAAAGGAAUUAUGGAAGCCCGAGUCACCAUCCUGAACUUGAAAUGAUGGAUGAAUUUGUUAAGAUACCAACCCCCUUUCUUUGGGAUGAGAAAGUAAUGGGAAUUUUUAGUGUACCUCUACUGCUCCCAGUUUGUAAAAAAGGUUCAGCUGUAUCUUGUGAAAAAAGACAAUGGGGUUUGAAAGAAAGGUCAGUGGAUAUGAAGGAACUGGAACUAGAUAGAAUAUGGCAUUUACAAUUUUUAGGACAUACUGGUCUGAAGUGAUCUAGGCUACCUGAAAAUAAAAAAAGGGAGCGGCCAAUGGGGAGGGAGGGUGAUGAUCCUGGCUGAAUAUCCAGACUGUUCAGGGGCCGAGGAAGAGGCUUUGAGUUGUCUUCACUAGAACCUGCUUCCUUCUUGGGAGCUCCAACAUCCUCAUGGGUUGGUACUAGUAAAAGGCAGAGGGAUGCCGCCUGAAAGAAGACUGUUGUCUUGCUUCCUUCUUUCAUGGUGCUAGAACAUACAAACCCUAUGAAUCCACAUUCAUGGAAUACCAUGACCUGGUAUUCUUUAACAAGUGGAGGACCUCAUCCAUUUUGAAUUAAAAAAAGUUCACUACCCUCAAGUGAAAGUCCUCAGUUGUAGUUUGGACCUUCCUGGAGAUCCCAGAGGACUGGAGCCAAGAUGACACACUCAUUGAAAAUGAGAGUAUUUAAAUCCCUUGGAAAGGACCUUUUUGUCAAAUUGCCUGGAUGUGGCCAGUAUUGUGUUAACACAUGCCACAGGUUCUUUAAAGGCUCCAACAGAAUUUCAUUUACUGGCAUAGCAAGUGUGCAAAACGAGGAAGGGAUGCAAGAUAUCCAGGAGCUUGCGGGACUUCUCCUGAACCACUUGUCGUGGAAUAUCCAGUGUCUCUGCCAUGCAUUUGAGGUCCUGGAAUGCCUUAAAGUUAUCCACUGAGGCAGGCAUAGAUGGGGUUAAUUGUCUCAUCAUGGGAGGAUGAGGAGAGCAGGGUGCCAGUAGUUCUUCCCCUUGUGGCUGUUGUUCCUCAUCACUUUUCUUCUGUCUUUUUAAGAUCUGAGGCUACACUAAUUGCCCUGGCUAUGUUGGUCUAUACUACCUCUUUGGGAAGAGGGAUCCUGGAGGAACAUGUGGAAAAUUACUCGAAGAAAAAUGCCUGAUUAGUUGGGUGACCAUGUAUUCCAACAGCAGUGACCAGAAUAUUACACAUUGACUGAUUCAAGCAAUGCCAAAUGAACUAAAGCUAUACAAGAAGUUAGCUACCAGCUGGGGAUGGUGGUAAAGCAAUGUAAAGAGAUUAAGCCUAAUGUGAUACUAAUGAGCUGGAUUAUAUUAAUUCUGUUAAGAGUAUGCUUUGGAAGAUAGUCAGUUCCAGUAGGUUGUGAUGGUGUCAUAGAAGCUGUCUUACUCCUGGGAACAUCAGCCACCCAGGAUGCCUGGUACUUGCUCUCACAUGACCUGUGGAUGAUGUUCAGCUAAGGAAUGUACCUGUUGGUCAACCGGGAGCCAUUAUGUAAUCUUUUAGACCAUUGGCUUAUUAUGCUUGUCUUGCUGCUAGAACCUAUCCAGAGGCUCGGGACACCCACCCCAUCGCGUCUCUCCACUCAAUGAGCUAUGCGUAAUAAACCCUUGUGCUUGGCUCUACAUUGUGUCCAUUUCUGUUCCUUCAAUAUCAUUGGUCAAUCUGAACAAAACAAGUUAUAAAAUUCACCCCAAUCGUGAUUGAUAAGUGGACAUUGCUAUAAUUUAUAUCUAGAACUAAAAUAAAACAUACCUUUUUU